rnacentral:rRNA from 1 species
GGAAGUCUGGUGCCAGCAGCCGCGGUAAUUCCAGCUCCAAUAGCGUAUAUUAAAGUUGUCGCAGUUAAAAAGCUCGUAGUUGAACCUCGGGAUCAAUGGAUCGGUCAUGCCAUCGGUAUGUACUGGUCUCAUUGGUUCUCACCUUCUAAGGAACCAUGAUGUCAUUCAGUUGAUGUUGUGGGGAAUUAGGACUGUUACCUUGAAAAAAUUAGAGUGUUUAAAGCAGGCUAACGCUUGAAUACAUUAGCAUGGAAUAAUGAAAUAGGACAUCGCAUUCUAUUUUGUUGGUUUCUAGGAUCGAUGUAAUGAUUAAUAGGGAUAGUUGGGGGCAUUAGUAUUCAAUUGUCAGAGGUGAAAUUCUUGGAUUUAUUGAAGACUAACUACUGCGAAAGCAUUUGCCAGGGAUGUUUUCAUUAAUCAAGAACGAAAGUUAGGGGAUCGAAGACGAUCAGAUACCGUCGUAGCCUUAACCAUAAACUAUGCCGACUAGGGAUCGGAUGAUGUUGAUUUUUUUAAUGACUCAUUCGGCGCCUACGGGAAAC